GCCCCGGUAGCCCAGUGGUAGAGGCCCGGUGCUCAAACCACCGCCAGCGUGGGUUCGAAUCCCACCCGGGGCAC
rnacentral:tRNA from 1 species